rnacentral:rRNA from 1 species
CAACUACGUGCCAGCAGCCGCGGUAAGACGUAGGGCGCGAGCGUUGUCCGGAUUUAUUGGGCGUAAAGAGCUCGUAGGCGGCUUGUCGCGUCGACUGUGAAAACCCGCAGCUCAACUGCGGGCCUGCAGUCGAUACGGGCAGGCUAGAGUUCGGUAGGGGAGACUGGAAUUCCUGGUGUAGCGGUGAAAUGCGCAGAUAUCAGGAGGAACACCGGUGGCGAAGGCGGGUCUCUGGGCCGAUACUGACGCUGAGGAGCGAAAGCGUGGGGAGCGAACAGGAUUAGAUACCCUGGUAGUCCACGCUGUAAACGUUGGGCGCUAGGUGUGGGGGGCCUCUCCGGUUCCCUGUGCCGCAGCUAACGCAUUAAGCGCCCCGCCUGGGGAGUACGGCCGCAAGGCUAAAACUCAAAGGAAUUGACGGGGGCCCGCACAAGCGGCGGAGCAUGCGGAUUAAUUCGAUGCAACGCGAAGAACCUUACCUGGGUUUGACAUGGCCGCAAAACCGGCAGAGAUGUCGGGUCCUUCGGGGGCGGU